rnacentral:rRNA from 1 species
UACGGGGGGUGCGAGCGUUGUCCGGAAUCACUGGGCGUAAAGGGCGCGUAGGUGGCUCUGUAAGUUUGCGGUGAAAGCCCGGGGCUCAACCCCGGGUCUGCCGUGAAUACUGCAAGGCUUGAGUACUGUAGAGGCAGGUAGAAUAUCGGGUGUAGCGGUGGAAUGCGUAGAGAUCCGAUAGAAGACCGGUGGCGAAGGCGGCCUGCUGGGCAGUAACUGACACUGAGGCGCGACAGCGUGGGGAGCAAACAG